GUGAAUAUAGUUUACAAAAAACCCUAGCCCGUGAAUCUAGUAACAGAAUAUAAACAAUUCUUAUUCACC
rnacentral:tRNA from 1 species